rnacentral:rRNA from 1 species
UUCAUGGAGAGUUUGAUCCUGGCUCAGGACGAACGCUGGCGGCGUGCCUAAUACAUGCAAGUCGAGCGGACAGAUGGGAGCUUGCUCCCUGAUGUCAGCGGCGGACGGGUGAGUAACACGUGGGUAACCUGCCUGUAAGACUGGGAUAACUCCGGGAAACCGGGGC